rnacentral:rRNA from 1 species
UCAGCCGCCGCGGUAAUACCAGCUCUCCGAGUGGUGUGGACGUUUAUUGGGCCUAAAGCAUCCGUAGCUGGCUGAACAAGUCCCCUGUUAAACCCACCGAUUUAAUCGUUGGCGUGCGGGGGAUACCGCUUGGCUAGGGGACGAGAGAGGCAGACGGUAUUCCCGGGGUAGGGGUGAAAUCCUAUAAUCCCGAGAAGACCACCAGUGGCGAAGGCUGUCUGCUAGAACGCGCCCGACGGUGAGGGAUGAAAGCUGGGGGAGCGAACCGGAUUAGAUACCCGGGUAGUCCCAGCGGUAAACAAUGCAGACUAGGUGUUUGGACGGCCACGUGCCGUUCUAGUGCCGCAGGGAAGCUGUUAAGUCUGCCGCCUGGGGAGUACGAACGCAAGGUUGAAACUUAAAGGAAUUGGCGGGGGAGCACA